GACUGGUUAGUUUAUAAAAAAUAACAAUUUGUGGUAUUGUAGAAUUUUCUAGUCA
rnacentral:tRNA from 1 species